rnacentral:tRNA from 1 species
CGGGGCGUAGCGCAGCCUGGUAGCGCACCUGGUUUGGGACCAGGGGGUCGCUGGUUCGAAUCCGGCCGCCCCGACCA